rnacentral:rRNA from 1 species
AUUGAACGCUGGCGGCAUGCCUUACACAUGCAAGUCGAACGGCAGCACGGGAGCAAUCCUGGUGGCGAGUGGCGAACGGGUGAGUAAAGCAUCGGAACGUGCCCAGUCGUGGGGGAUAACGUAGCGAAAGCUACGCUAAUACCGCAUACGAUCUGUGGAUGAAAGCGGGGGACCGUAAGGCCUCGCGCGAUUGGAGCGGCCGAUGUCAGAUUAGGUAGUUGGUGGGGUAAAGGCCUACCAAGCCGACGAUCUGUAGCUGGUCUGAGAGGACGACCAGCCACACUGGGACUGAGACACGGCCCAGACUCCUACGGGAGGCAGCAGUGGGGAAUUUUGGACAAUGGGCGCAAGCCUGAUCCAGCAAUGCCGCGUGCAGGAUGAAGGCCUUCGGGUUGUAAACUGCUUUUGUACGGAACGAAACGGCUCCCUCUAAUACAGGGGGCUAAUGACGGUACCGUAAGAAUAAGCACCGGCUAACUACGUGCCAGCCGCCGCCGUAAUAC